rnacentral:lncRNA from 1 species
UAGAUCAUCCGGAGUGUGAGGCUUGCUACUACGAAUCUUUAGAGUUCAACGAUCGUCAGCAAGGCAAGUUCACACUUUGAUCAUAAUUUUCAAUACCCAGUUUUUACUAUGCAUUAGUUUCACCCUCAAAGAUUGCAUGAGUAGGAUUGGGAACAUGUGGUUAUGCUUUGUAGUUCAUGUGGUAGGAACCUAUGACUUUUGAUCACCCCGGGAAUAUUCGUUAUAUCAUAUACUGCUUAGCCAUGCUCAUAGACGGGGAUUGGUAUGUGUGAUUCAUGCAAGUUGCAAGAGAUAAUAAUUUUGGGACAACAUAAGGUGGCAACUUUAAUACACAUCUGGGUGGAUUGUUUGGGGCACCUGGAGAAACCAGUGCUUGCCCAAGGGGAAUCCCGGAGUACCCGUGUGAUUACCCUAGGUCGGCCACCCAGGCUCAAAGGGAUCAUAAGAUAUUUCAUGCCUACAAACUUCCGUGUGCAGCCACAAGCCAUUAUGGGCUCUGGCAUGGUUGAGUAAGUUGUGUGACCUCUUUCCGUGGUAGACUAGCUGAUGUAGGGGAAAGUAGGUGUACCGGUCUACCCAGGGUUAAGGGGAAACACUUCUGAAAGGCUAUGUCUCGAUCUUCCGAUCAUGGAGGCGGUUGAGUCUUGUGGGGAAAAGUGCGCAAACCUCUGCAGAGUGUACAAAAUAAUCAUGAUUAGCCGUGUCCCCGGUUACGGACAUCUUGAGUAUCUAGAAGUGAAUUAUUGGUUGAUCUCAUCACUCUUUUUAAUGAAAUUAUUGGGUUACUAAUAACUUGAGAAUUUUGGGAUUGAGUUGGAGGAACCUUCUCAAUAAUGGCAUUUUAAUUUAGUAGUAAAUAAAAAAUUAUUCCUUUGUUGUAGGGUAAAAUUGGCUUUAUGCAAAAAUAAAACUUAGAGCCUCCACCAGCUAAAUUUUCAUAUAGAGAUAGUCUUUUCAUUUAUUAUUAUUCUAUGGUGUGAAACUGCCAGCAUAUUCCAUGUGCCGACCUACACGGCUGCAACGUCUCAUGUUGCAAACUUUUUCGACGAGUAUUAAAGGUGCGAUAGGUCGUUGUUCUGCACUCAGUUUGCCAUGGAGUUGGAUGGACUCAUUUACCUUCAAUGCUUCCGUAGUUGUUUUUAUUGAGAUGGCCUUUGGCCAUAUUAUUGUAAUAAAUACUGUUUUGAGAACUUCAAUGUAAUAAAGUGUGAAUGAACUCUGUUAUAAUUCCUUGAGUAUUGUGUGUGUCAGCAUACCGAUCCAGGGAUGACACUUAAGCACAGAGACUUCGAUCCAUUUUGGGUCGGGUCGCUACAAUAUGGUAUCAGAGCACACGCUGACUGUAGGAUGCGACCACUAGGAAAUGGAAAGCCAUAGGAAGAAAACUCUAUUUUAUGACUUCCUUAAAUAUCCGUUGGUCUAUACUCUUCUCUAUUCAUUUCUAUCUCUUCUCUACUUCAAUAAAAUAGUUGUUGAACCCCAUCACCAAGUUGCUUAGCCCGAUGAGACCAUGACCUAUGAAGACAUCAUUGACGACGAAGAAGAAGAAGCUAGAGUUGACUUUGAUUUGAGAAGAUUUAGUUCAGACCACCACUACCAAGUUGAGUCCAACGUAUGAUUGCGGUAGUAUGAAGAGAUCAUAUCUCUUGUGGAUAUGACCUUACCUGUAGGUUUUUGCUUGUGUGGUGUGAUCUGUUUGAAUUGCUUGAUUUGAAAUUUUCUUGCUAUCAUAAGCAUAUGGGUAGUGAUUUCUCUCAUUAGGCCCUUAUUCUAUUCUAAUUUCUUAUCCACUCUAAACCUAACAGAUGCCUCCAAGACAUGACCCAGAAUUCCCACCGGAACUUACCCAGUUGAUCCAGAAACAGAAUGCCCUCAUGCAGCUACUCAUCCAGAAUCAGAACCAGAACAACAACAACCCACCGCCACCACCCCCGGUUGACAACCUUACCCGUUUCCUGAGGUUGAACCCACCAGUGUUCUCUAGCAGCACGGAGCCGAUUGUUGCAGAUGAAUGGCUUCGCAAGAUCGGAACAGAGCUGACCACCGCAGGAUGCACUGACACUGAGAAGGUGCGCUUUGCCGCGCAUCAACUGGAUGGACCAGCAGCUUCGUGGUGGGAGAAUUACACCACCACAUUACCCAUAGCCAAUGUGACUUGGGAUCAGUUCCAGCAGGCGUUCCGUACCACACAUGUUUCAGCCAGAGCUAUGAGUCUGAAGAAGAGUGAGUUCCGCAACUUACUUCAAGGAAAUCGUUCUAUUGGUGAUUAUGUGGAGGAAUUCAGCAAGUUAUCCAGGUAUGCUCCCAGAGACGUGGUUGAUGAUGCCGCUAAGCAGGAGAAAUUUCUGGAGGGACUAAACGAUGAUUUGGGACUUCAGUUGACCGUGGCUACCUUUAACAAUUAUCAAGAGUUGGUCGACAAGGCUCUCAUUCUGGAAGGCAAGCAGCAGCAGGUGGAUAAUCGCAAGAGGAAGUACGGACAGGGAAAGUACAACUCUAGAGUUCAGCAGAAGGAUUUCGUGAGGAUGAACAUGGAACCUUAUGGUUUGAGCAUCGUAUUUACGUGCCAAAUGACCCAGAGAUCAGGAAAUUGAUUCUUCAGGAGGCUCAUGAUUCGCCUUAUUCAAUACACCCGGGCAACACCAAGAUGUAUUUGGACUUGAAGGAAAGUUUCUGGUGGACAGGUAUGAAGAAGGAUAUUGCCGGGUAUGUCGCAGUAUAUGACGUAUGUCAGAGGGUUAAGGCAGAGCACCAAAAACCAGCAGGAUUACUUCAGCCUUUGCCGAUACCAGAUUGGAAGUGGGACAAGCUUGGCAUGGACUUCAUUACAGGAUUACCCAGGACCCGAUCAGGCUAUGAUUCUAUUUGGGUAGUGGUUGAUCGCUUGACUAAGGUAGCUCACUUCAUCCCCGUGAAAACCACAUAUACAAGUACUAAGUUGGCCAAGAUAUACAUGACCAGGAUCGUAUGUCUGCAUGGAGUUCCGAGGACCAUCGUAUCAGAUAGAGGAACACAAUUUUCCUCAAAGUUUUGGCAUCAGUUACAUGAAACUUUGGGUACCAGGCUGGAGUUCAGUACAGCUUUUCAUCCGCAGACAGAUGGGCAGACCGAGAGAGUCAAUCAGAUUCCGGAGGACAUGUUGAGAGCUUGUGCGCUGGAUUGUGGAUCUAGUUGGGAUGAUAAUUUGCCUUACGCAGAAUUCUCAUAUAACAACAGCUAUCAAGCUAGUUUGAAAAUGGCCCCUUUCGAAGCUUUGUACAGAAGGAGGUGCAGGACACCAUUGAUGUGGGAUGAAGUUGGAGACCGUAAAUUAUUCGAACCAGAUUUAAUUAGAGAUUCAGAGGAGAAAGUCAAGCUGAUCCGCGACAGACUCAAGGCAGCCCAAUCCAGAUAGAAGAGUUAUGCCGAUACUAAACGCAAGGAGGUAACCUAUGAAGUCGGAGAUAGAGCAUAUCUGCGUGUGUCGCCACUUCGAGGAGUUAAAUGAUUUGGAGUCAAAGGAAAGUUAGCACCACGGUUUGUGUGGUCGUACAGAGUUUUAGAGCGCAUGGGUGAAGUUGCCUACAAGUUGGAAUUACCAGAAGCCUUGUCAGGAGUUCAUGAUGUGUUUCACGUUUCCCAGUUGAAGAAGUGCCAUGCGGAGAUGGCCGAUAUUCCUUUGAGAGAUACAGUGCCACUGGAGGACAUACAGUUGGAUAGUGAUCUAACCUAUGAGGAGAAGCCCAUCAAGAUUCUCGAAACUGCAAGCAGGGUUACCCGCAGCAAGGUCAUCAAGUUUUGCAUGGUUCAGUGGAGUCAUCAUACUGAGGAAGAAGCCACCUGGGAACAAGAAGAAGACCUCCGACAGGACCACCCACACCUUUUUGCUAGCCAACCAGAAUCUCGAGGGCAAGAUUCAUCUUAAGGGGGGUAGGUUUGUAACAUCCCAAUUUUCAGUUUGGAUGUUUAUAAAUAGUUCAUUCAUAUGCAUCCAUGAUUUAUGCAUUUUUGCUGCCAUUUGUUUUAUUUGAUUUUUGAUCCAAGGAACUUUGAGAAACUCAAGGACGAAAAGAGAGAGUUGGAAGUUUCCCUAAAAAACCAAUUUUGAAUUUUUUUCGAAGUUGGGAGAUUGGAUCAAAUUUGGUUUCACCAAAAUACAUUUCCAUUAUAUCAAAAAUAAAAUAAAGAGAGAAGAUAAAAUGACUUCUUCAAAAAUAAAAAUAAAAUGUUGGAAAUUGAAUUUGGCACCAAAAUAUAUUUGUUGGGUUUUAUUUGCACUUUAUUUUAUUAGUUUAGCAAAAAUGUUUAUUUUUUUAACUUGCAUUUUAGGACAGAUAAAAGUUCACUAGGUCAUAUAUAAGACCAUAUAACUAUGUGAAUUUUCUGGGAUUUUUAGGCUAACUUUUAUUUGUAUUUUCGGUGUUUCUUUGCUUCUGUAAAAAAACGUUUUAAAAACGUGGGCAGCCAAGGCCCAAGGAAGGCCCAGCCUUCUUCACGACAGGAGGUCGUCUUCAACCUCUUGUACGAGAGCAGGAAGCACGUACGCAGCACUCCCACCCAACGCCCCACCCCUCCCCUCCUCUCCCUCGCUCCAAAACCACUCUGAAUCAGUUCCCCUCACCUCCCUCUAUCUUUUGCCCUUCACUAGUGUGCCUUAAUUCCUCCUCUAAUGGCCAUUAGAAGCCCAAGUAACAGUCACCAUUAACAUCAUAAAGUUGGCAACGCUCAGCUCAUCUCCAGACCUCCCCAAGCCCUAUAUAAAGCACCCCUGGGAGCCCCUCUCACCCCUCGUCCGAUGCCCUCUCCUUCUGGAGUUUUUCCCUCUCUCUAACCUCUCCAAUUGCUCGCCAGAGUUCGUGUAUUCUGGCGACCUCUCACCGCGUGUACAGGAAACAUUUACAACCACAAGUUGUUCAAGUGGUUCACCUCAUCAUCCUCUACACCGUCCAGCACGCAUCCUUCACCGAAGCACCCCGGAUCCACCAUCUUCCUCAUCUCCGGCAACUAGUCCGGUGAGCACCCAGCCAACCAAUCAGAAAGUGCCACUUGCCAUCUGGCCGAAUUUAUUUCUCUUUUUCCAGUAUUUUUCCAAUCUCAGAUUCUAUAUCAAUUCUUGGUUCUAGUAUAUCUUUUAGUCUAUAGAUCCGAUUUAGUUGAUUCUUUUUCCUACCGCUUCAUAAAAAUAUCCUCUAUCCAGAGAACCAAACGAAAAAUAUUUUUGAAAAUUUUAAAAUUUGAAUUCAAACAGAUCUGAAUUCAAACUUCGUUAGGCCAUAACUCGAGUUUCGUAACUCCGUUUUAGGUGAUUCUUUUUGCAAAUCGAAGCUCGUGACGUAUACUUUCUGUUAAACCCAAACACACAUACUUUUGCUACUAUAAAAAUUACGUUCUGUUCAGAAACUUUAUUUGGUUGUUUUUGAAGUUUUCCGAAGUCCUCUCUUUGUUUUCUUUUUGAUUCUUCGCUUGUAUGCUUAUGUAUGUUAUUGCUUGCUUACGCUAGAUCAUCCGGAGUGUGAGGCUUGCUACUACGAAUCUUUAGAGUUCAACGAUCGUCAGCAAGGCAAGUUCACACUUUGAUCAUAAUUUUCAAUACCCAGUUUUUACUAUGCAUUAGUUUCACCCUCAAAGAUUGCAUGAGUAGGAUUGGGAACAUGUGGUUAUGCUUUGUAGUUCAUGUGGUAGGAACCUAUGACUUUUGAUCACCCCGGGAAUAUUCGUUAUAUCAUAUAUUGCUUAGCCAUGC